rnacentral:rRNA from 1 species
GACGAACGCUGGCGGCGUGCUUAACACAUGCAAGUCGAACGGAAAGGCCCUGCUUGCAGGGUACUCGAGUGGCGAACGGGUGAGUAACACGUGGGUGAUCUGCCCUGCACUUCGGGAUAAGCCUGGGAAACUGGGUCUAAUACCGGAUAGGAGCCAUUUUUAGUGUGAUGGUUGGAAAGUUUUUUCGGUGUAGGAUGAGCUCGCGGCCUAUCAGCUUGUUGGUUGGGUAAUGGCCUACCAAGGCGGCGACGGGUAGCCGGCCUGGGAGGGUGGACGGCCACAUUGGGACUGGGAUACGGCCCAGACUCCUACGGGAGGCAGCAGUGGGGAAUAUUGCACAAUGGGCGCAAGCCUGAUGCAGCGACGCCGCGGGGGGGAUGACGGCCUUCGGGUUGUAAACUCCUUUCGCUAGGGACGAAGCUUUUUGUGACGGUACCUAGAUAAGAAGCACCGGCUAACUACGUG